rnacentral:rRNA from 1 species
GUCUGUGGUCAUACCAUCCUGAAUGCCCCUGAUCUCUUUUGAUUUUGGAAGCUGAGCAGGGUCGGGCCUGGUUAGUACUUGGAUGGGAGACCGCCUGGGAAUACUGGGUGCUGUAGGCU